rnacentral:rRNA from 1 species
AGUAGGGCGGGACACGUGGUAUCCUGUCUGAAUAUGGGGGGACCAUCCUCCAAGGCUAAAUACUCCUGACUGACCGAUAGUGAACCAGUACCGUGAGGGAAAGGCGAAAAGAACCCCGGCGAGGGGAGUGAAAAAGAACCUGAAACCGUGUACGUACAAGCAGUGGGAGCCCCACCACUAAGCCAGUGGUGAACUCCACAUACGCAUCCUUUGCUGAGGAUACGGUUAACGGAGCGAAAGCGACGUUCAACCGCAAAAGAAGCAGAGGGGGCUUAGUGGUGGGGUGACUGCGUACCUUUUGUAUAAUGGGUCAGCGACUUAUAUUCUGUAGCAAGGUUAACCGAAUAGGGGAGCCGGAGGGAAACCGAGUCUUAAC